rnacentral:lncRNA from 1 species
CUUCAAAUCCAAUACCAGUGGUGGACCAUAUCAACUCAACAUGAGACUUCUGAUAUAAAAAAGGGAAAAAGUUAGAUAAUAAUCCCCCCCCCCAAAAAAGAAGAAGAGGAAGAGACAUAAAAUUGCUCCUCGAUCGCGAAUAGCGCCAGAAGCAAACCCACUACUCUAGGAUCUUUUCAGUGGCCUGAUACAGUUAUAGUCAUGCUAUGUGUUGCUUUUUCUUUUAUGGAGUUACUUUAUUGUCCUAUUACGAGUCAAAAGCAGCAAGAAAAAUAAAUCUGAAAAAGUUCGAUCGGUGACUAUUUUAGGUGCUUCUCAAUUUGAGUUAGGUAUGCAUUUCUAAAGAAAGAGUGGGAGAAUAUAAAAUUAUGAAACUUUGUUAACUCAUAUUCAUUUAGGUUAGAUGAUUUGUUUAUUUAAUUUUCUAUUGAAUUAAAAUUAACGUAGAAGGAAAAUUAAAAUUAUUAUAAAAAUUUGUUUAUGCAAUCCAUAAGCAUGAUCUUAAUGCCUAAAAAUGGAAUUAUCGACUAUACGCAUGGUUCAGAAUAGGAAAUUUCCUAACGCGGAGAUGCUUAAAAAUCUCAAACAAAUCAAAAUUAGUAUCGAAUAUAUUAAAUUAAAUAAUCAAUAAUUGCAAACUAGGCAACGAAUAAUCAAAUCGAAUUGGUUCGAGAGAUUACCUGGUUUGAAGUAUUCAAUUCCAGAAUCGGGGCCGGCGAUGGGGCGCUUUAUGGCGACCAGUGAGGAGGAACGUCAGGACCAAAGCAGCAACGACGGCGAUUCAGCAAGGACGCAGCAAAUUGCGGACGGGUUCGCUGGAACAAAAGACGCAACGGUGAAGGUUUGUUGGUCGGACUCUGCUUGGCGGCGACGGUGUGGGCUCGAUCAACGCUAGUCUGCUCUGGGCAAACUGCGAAAGGAAAUCAAAACAGCAAGCGGAGGUGGCGUCAAGUGGAGCCGGGAUGCCGCCUGGAAUCACCGGAAACCGCCAGGGACUGCUGCUGUGGCGUUCGAAUAAGUCGGCAAAUCUGCUGUCGUGGCCGCAGCAGGACGUGCUGAGCGCGACUAAGUGAGCCAGCAAGCGAGGUAGAGGCGCGACGAUGGGCAAGCCGGCGGCAAGCGCAGUGACUGAUGAGGGGCGGCGGCGGCGGCGUUCGUAGGAGGACAGAGCCGAAGAUCAACACCGGCGAACAAGGUCUCGAGAAUUUCGGCGAGAAAGCAAACCCUAGACCGCCGGACGAAAGCGGCAACGACACCGAGAAAAUAGACCCCACCG